rnacentral:misc_RNA from 1 species
UACAGAGGGUGCAAGCGUUAAUCGGAAUUACUGGGCGUAAAGCGCGCGUAGGUGGUUGGCGAAGUUGGAUGUGAAAACCCCGGGCUCAACCUGGGAACUGCAUCCAAAACUGGCCGGCUAGAGUACGGUAGGGGGUGGUGGAAUUUCCUGUGUAGCGGUGAAAUGCGUAGAUAUAGGAAGGAACACCAGUGGCGACGGCGACCACCUGGACUGAUACUGACCCUGAGGUGCGAAAGCGUGGGGAGAAAACAUG